rnacentral:lncRNA from 1 species
CGGAGCCGCAGCUCCCGCAGACCUCCAGGAGGAGGCGGCGCAGGCUGCAGUUCCUGCUGCAGCUCCUGCGGACCUCCAGGAGGAGGUCACGCCUGCUGCGGCUCCUGCGGACCUCCAGGAGGAGGUCACGCUGGAGAUGCUGCCGCGGUUCCCGCCGACCUCCAGGAGGAGGUCGCGCCAGCUGGAGUUGCUGCCGCGGUUCCCGCCGACCUCCAGGAGGAGGUCGCGCCAGCUGGAGUUGUUGCCGCGGUUCCCGCCGACCUCCAGGAGGAGGUCGCGCCAGCUGGAGUUGCUGCCGCGGUUCCCGCCGACCUCCAGGAGGAGGUCGCGCCAGCUGGAGUUGCUGCCGAGGUUCCAGGAGGAGGUCGCCCCCGUCGUGGUUCCAGCCGACCUCCAGGAGGAGGUCGCCCCCGUCCUAGUUCCUGCCGACGUCCAGGAGAAGGUCGCUCCUGCAUCGGUUCCUGGUGGCUCGGCUCCCGCCGCAUCUGCAUCAGUUCCUGGCGGCUCGGCUCCGGCCGCACCUGCAUCGGUUCCUGGCGGAUCGGUCCCGGCUGCACCUGCAUCGGUUCCUGGCGGCUCGGCCCCGGCCGCACCUGCAUCGGUUCCUGGCGGCUCGGCCCCGGCCGCACCUGCAUCGGUUCCUGGCGGCUCGGCCCCGGCCGCACCUGCAUCGGUUCCUGGCGGCUCGGCCCCGGCCGCACCUGCAUCUGUUCCCAAUGGUGGUCCGGAGGAGGCCACGUCUGCUCCUGUUUCUCGUUGCGGUGGUCCAAGGAGGACGCCGCUGGUUCCUGUUUCUCGUCGCGGUGGUCCACGGAGGACGCCGCUGGUUCCUGUGUCUCGUCGCGGUGGUCCAAGGAGGACGCCGCUGGUUCCUGUGUCUCGUCGCGGUGGUCCAAGGAGGGCGCCGCUGGUUCCGGUUUCUCGUCGCGGUGGUCCAAGGAGGACGCUGCUGGUUCCGGUUUCUCGUCGCGGUGGUCCAAGGUGGACGCCGCUGGUUUCCCUGCACUCUGGCGGCGGUCUGGAGCUGCAUAGUUGUCUCGUGGACUGGUGGCCUCGCCCGCGGCGCAUCCGGCGGUGUGGAUGGCGCUGCCUCCUGCGGCGACGUCCGCCUCGACUCCUCAGCCCCUCGGAUCAGCGUCCGCCUGGAGGACGUUGCCAUUCGGGGUGGUCCCCGGGGACGUUGGCCCAGCUCAAGGGCACUAAGAGUGCCACCCGGGCUCAGCGGCGGCUGAGCAGGAUCUCGCCACGCCUUCACCCUCCGUGAGGGAAUCCCUGGACUUCGUGUUUUUUCCCGUUCGUGGACUUGGGUUUUGUCGUGUGGUCUCUUGUUUUGGCCCUCCCCCGGUCCUCCCUCCACCCACCCUGCUCGUUUGCCUUGAGGGGUAGGGAUUCGGUCCCUCCUCCUGGGACCAACCUCCGCC